rnacentral:rRNA from 1 species
AGCAGCCACGGUAAUUCCAGCUCCAAUAGCGUAUAUUAAAGUUGUUGCGGUUAAAAAGCUCGUAGUUGAAUUUCGGGAUCAAAGAAUCGGUCAUGCCUUGGUAUGUACUGGUUUUAUUGGUUCUCACCUUCUAAAGAACCAUGAUGUCAUUCAUUUGAUGUUAUGGGGAAUUAGGACUGUUACCUUGAAAAAAUUAGAGUGUUUAAAGCAAGCUUACGCUUGAAUACAUUAGCAUGGAAUAAUGAAAUAGGACAUCAGAUUCUAUUUUGUUGGUUUCUAGGAUCGAUGUAAUGAUUAAUAGGGAUAGUUGGGGGCAUUAGUAUUCAAUUGUCAGAGGUGAAAUUCUUGGAUUUAUUGAAGACUAACUACUGUGAAAGCACUUGCCAAGGAUGUUUUCAUUAAUCAAGAACGAAAGUUAGGGGAUCGAAGACGAUCAGAUACCGUCGUAGUCUUAACCAUAAACUAUGCCGACUAGGGAUCGGAUGAUGUUAAUUUUUUAAUGACUCAUUCGGCACCUUAC